GGAGAAAUGCAUAAAAGCAGACCUGUGAAUAAAGCUGACAGUUGACUCCCAGACUGUGUAGUCUAGUCCUUGGGGAGAUGGAUUAUGCUGUGUUCCUGUGAUUUUGUAUGCUGAAUCUUUGUUCCCAGCGGAGAGCUAUUGGAUUAACCCCUGCUACUCCGCUACAGGGGGUUCCUGUGCGAACAGUGACGAACGCUCCCCCUGUUCAGUAGAUCAUAUCUACCAAAUAUCGUUCGUCUAGAUGGUUGGGAAGUUGGACGGGUUCGAGGAGACGCGAGGCCGAAUAAGGUUCCAGUUCGACCAAGUAGCGAUGCCUGCGUUCGGGAGGCAAAAUGGCCGCCAUGCACUGGACCACGUGCAUUCGGUUAUACAAAUGGCGGACACCAAGGGAAAGCACUCAAGAGAAGGUGUCAAGUCAUUAAAGGGACACUAUAGUCACCUGAACAACUUUAGCUUAAUGAAGCAGUUUUGGUGUAUAGAACAUGCCCCUGCAACCUCACUGCUCAAUCCUCUGCCAUUUAGGAGUUAAAUCCCUUUGUUUAUGAACCCUAGUCACACCUCCCUGCAUGUGACUUGCACAGCCUUCCAUAAACACUUCCUGUAAAGAGAGCCCUAUUUAGGCUUUCUUUAUUGCAAGUUCUGUUUAAUUAAGAUUUUCUUAUCACCUGCUAUGUUAAUAGCUUGCUAGACCCUGCAAGAGCCUCCUGUAUGUGAUUAAAGUUCAAUUUAGAGAUUGAGAUACAAUUAUUUAAGGUAAAU